rnacentral:rRNA from 1 species
GAUGAACGCUGGCGGCGUGCCUAAUACAUGCAAGUCGAGCGAACAGAUAAGGAGCUUGCUCCUUUGACGUUAGCGGCGGACGGGUGAGUAACACGUGGGUAACCUACCUAUAAGACUGGGAUAACUUCGGGAAACCGGAGCUAAUACCGGAUAACAUUUGGAACCGCAUGGUUCUAAAGUGAAAGAUGGUUUUGCUAUCACUUAUAGAUGGACCCGCGCCGUAUUAGCUAGUUGGUAAGGUAACGGCUUACCAAGGCAACGAUACGUAGCCGACCUGAGAGGGUGAUCGGCCACACUGGAACUGAGACACGGUCCAGACUCCUACGGGAGGCAGGAGUAGGGAAUCUUCCGCAAUGGGCGAAAGCCUGACGGAGCAACGCCGCGUGAGUGAUGAAGGGUUUCGGCUCGUAAAACUCUGUUAUUAGGGAAGAACAAACGUGUAAGUAACUGUGCACGUCUUAACGGUACCGAAUCAGAAAGCCACGGCUAACUACGU